GACGAAGGAUGCAAGCGUUAUCCGGAUUCAUUGGGUUUAAAGGGAGCGUAGGCGGACUUAUAAGUCAGUGGUGAAAUCUCCGGGCUUAACCCGGAAACUGCCAUUGAUACUGUAGGUCUAGAGUACAUUUGCUGUGGGCGGAAUAUGACAUGUAGUGGUGAAAUACUUAGAUAUGUCAUAGAACACCGAUUGCGAAGGCAGCUCACAAAAAUGUAACUGACGCUGAGGCUCGAAAGUGCGGGGAUCAAACAGGAUUAGAUACCCUGGUAGUCCGCACUGUAAACGAUGAUUACUCGCUGCUUGGGGGCAACCCUGAGUGGCUUAGCGAAAGCGAUAAGUAAUCCACCUGGGGAGUACGCCGGCAACGGUGAA
rnacentral:rRNA from 1 species